AAAAUCUUUAGUAGACUACUCACCAGAUGUUUCAUCAGAGAUGUGUGAAAAUCAAUAGACCCAUACCUCCUAGAAAAGUAAGAACACCAAAUUCAAAAAUAUUGUUAUGGGUGAUCAUUAUAAACAAAUAAUAAAUUAUUGCCAUCCAUAAUUCUUUGCCUGGUGUCUUCAAACGAAUGUAAAAAUGACCAUGUGAUUUCAAAAUUAAUCCAGCCAAUUCAACCACAACUACAUAAGAACUAAUUUAACAAAAAUCUUUAUGCCAAGAGCAGAGCGAUCCUAUACAAAAUAUAAGCAAUGGAAGUACCGUAUGCUCUUUCUAAGAAAUAAGCCAAGAUCUGUUUUUGCCUCUCACACAUUCAUUUAGUGAGCCAAAAUAUUGUUCCCUGACCUUUGAUCAUCCCCACUUGCAUCAAUUUACCAAAGCUAGGCACCUAAGAGACAUUGCACAGUAGAGGCCAUCAGGACCCAAUAUGAUCCUACAUGCUAGGCUUUAAGGUGGGUACUAUUUAUGCAUUGGGAACCUCAAGCCAGCAUCAAGCUCAGGUAGCCACCAGCCACAUGCCAAGAACAAUCCUUGUCUGUACCAAAAUCCAAAAUCUAAAGGCUUUCAAAAAAAAUUGUCCAGUAUCAAAGUCGUCAUUAAGCUCAACAGUUUAAAUAAUUAUAUUAUAGAUAAAAUAUAAAUAAUAAGUAUAUCACCUUUUUGAACUCUAAUUAGUAUAUAUCUAUGAGUUUCAUUUUCAACAACCUGGGAGGCAGUGCUAUCAAUCUAUCCAUGUCAUACAACUGCGAAAGACCUUGCUAGCCUUGAACAUGAAG
rnacentral:lncRNA from 1 species